rnacentral:rRNA from 1 species
AGGGUUCGAUUAUGGCUCAGGAUGAACGCUGGCGGCGUGCUUAACACAUGCAAGUCGAACGGAGAGCCUUUGAUUGAGGAUUCGUCCAAAUGAUAAGGUUUCUUAGUGGCGGACGGGUGAGUAACGCGUGAGGAACCUGCCUUGGAGUGGGGAAUAACAGUCCGAAAGGGCUGCUAAUACCGCAUGAUGCAGUUGGGUCGCAUGGCUCUGACUGCCAAAGAUUUAUCGCUCUGAGAUGGCCUCGCGUCUGAUUAGCUAGUUGGUGGGGUAAAGGCCCACCAAGGCGACGAUCAGUAGCCGGACUGAGAGGUUGGCCGGCCACAUUGGGACUGAGACACGGCCCAG